rnacentral:rRNA from 1 species
UACGGGGGGAGCAAGCGUUGUUCGGAUUUACUGGGCGUAAAGGGCGCGUAGGCGGCCAGCGCAAGUCAGUUGUGAAAUCUCCGGGCUUAACUCGGAACGGUCAACUGAUACUGCGCGGCUAGAGUGCAGAAGGGGCAACUGGAAUUCUCGGUGUAGCGGUGAAAUGCGUAGAUAUCGAGAGGAACACCUGCGGCGAAGGCGGGUUGCUGGGCUGACACGUGACGCUGGAGGAGCGAAAGCGUGGGGAGCGAACAGGA